CGCGUCUCACAGUCGGUUACCACUUCGAGUGUAGCGCGCAGCUCAACGUUAAAAUCACUGAAAAUAAAAGUAAUCUUCAGAAUAUUAUUGUGAUCAAGUGCAACUCAGUACUAAUUGCAGUAACAGAUUAUUAAAAGAAUGCUUCUUCGAUCAAUAUUUCGAUUGCGGACAUCUCGCAAACUACAACAGAUAGGAAUGAACGGAUUGAAGAUGCUUAAUCUACAGUAUUUGCCAUGCCUGGAGUCCAUGAGUUUUGCAUUGGUUUUAACUGGAUUAAUCGUGGUGUACUUCUUCGACCAUC